AAUCCUUUAACGAGGAUCUAUUGGAGGGCAAGUCUGGUGCCAGCAGCCGCGGUAAUUCCAGCUCCAAUAGCGUAUAUUAAAGUUGUUGUGGUUAAAAAGCUCGUAGUUGGAUCUCAGUUCGAGUCAGGCGGUCCACUUGCCAGUGGCUACUGCCUGACUGAACACUUUACCGAGUUGUCCUAUGGUGUUCUUCACCGAGCGUCAUAGGCGAUCGGUACGUUUACUUUGAAAAAAUUAGAGUGCUCAAAGCAGGCGUAACGCCCGAAUAAUGUUGCAUGGAAUAAUGGAAUAGGACCUCGGUUCUAUUUUGUUGGUCUUCGGAAUCAGAGGUAAUGAUCAAUAGGGACAGACGGGGACAUUCGUAUUGCGGCGCUAGAGGUGAAAUUCUUGGACCGUCGCAAGACGAACUAAAGCGAAAGCAUUUGUCAAGAAUGUUUUCAUUAAUCAAGAACGAAAGUUAGAGGUUCGAAGGCGAUCAGAUACCGCCCUAGUUCUAACCAUAAACGAUGCCAACCAGUAAUUCGUCUGAGUUCCUUAAAUGACUCGACGAGGGACUUCCGGGAAACCAAAGUCUUUCGGUUCCAGGGGAAGUAUGGUUGCAAAGCUGAAACUUAAAGAAAUUGACGGAAGGGCACCACCAGGAGUGGAGCCUGCGGCUUAAUUUGACCCAACACGGGAAAACUCACCCGGCCCGGACACUGGAAGGAUUGACAGAUUGAGAGCUCUUUCUUGAUUCAGUGGGUGGUGGUGCAUGGCCGUUCUUAGUUGGUGGAGUGAUUUGUCUGGUUAAUUCCGAUAACGAACGAGACUCUAGCCUACUAAAUAGAUCGUCGGCUUACAAACGCCGGCGAGACUUCUUAGAGGGACAGGCGGUGAUUCAACCGCACGAAACAGAGCAAUAACAGGUCUGUGAUGCCCUUAGAUGUCCGGGGCCGCACGCGCGCUACACUGAAGUGAUCAGCGUGCUUUUUCAACCUACUCUGUCAAGAGUGGGGAACCCAAUGAACCUUCUUCGUGAUUGGGAUAGGGGAUUGUAAUUAUUCCCCUUGAACGAGGAAUUCCCAGUAAGCGCGAGUCAUAAGCUCGCGUUGAUUACGUCCCUGCCCUUUGUACACACCGCCCGUCGCUACUACCGAUUGAAUGUUUUAGUGAGGUCUUCGGACUGGCCGGCGCAGCACUCUCGUAGUGCAGCGCUGUGUUUGGAAAGAUGCCCAAACUUGAACAUUUAGAGGAAGUAAAAGUCGUAACAAGGUUUCCGUAGGUGAACCUGCGGAAG
rnacentral:rRNA from 1 species